AUUGAACGCUGGCGGCAGGCCUAACACAUGCAAGUCGAGCGGAUGAAGAGAGCUUGCUCUCUGAUUUAGCGGCGGACGGGUGAGUAAUGCCUAGGAAUCUGCCUGGUAGUGGGGGAUAACGUUCCGAAAGGAACGCUAAUACCGCAUACGUCCUACGGGAGAAAGCAGGGGACCUUCGGGCCUUGCGCUAUCAGAUGAGCCUAGGUCGGAUUAGAUAGUUGGUGAGGUAAUGGCUCACCAAGGCGACGAUCCGUAACUGGUCUGAGAGGAUGAGCAGUCACACUGGAACUGAGACACGGGCCAGAGUCCUACGGGAGGCAGCAGUGGGGAAUAUUGGACAAUGGGCGAAAGCCUGAUCCAGCCAUGCCGCGUGUGUGAAGAAGGUCUUCGGAUCGUAAAGCACUUUAAGUUGGGAGGAAGGGCAGUGAGUUAAUACCUUGCUGUUUUGACGUUACCGACAGAAUAAGCACCGGCUAACUUCGUGCCAGCCGCCGCCGUAACAC
rnacentral:rRNA from 1 species